rnacentral:lncRNA from 1 species
GAUGGGCUCCUCUGUGGACCCACCAUGCUUUGGACAAAGUAAGAUUUUUAUAUGCACAUGUCUGUCUAUAUCAGUUUUAAUCUGUAGAGCAGUGCUUCACCGAAAUAUUCAAAUAGAAUGGUCUUUCUCUGAGAACUCCAUAAGAAGUUCUGACUGGCCUCUGUAGUUCGUUUUAGUUUUGUAAAAGACAGUUUUCUGGCACAAACUACUGAACUGUUAAUGCAGGAUCUAAUUCCAUCGAUGUUGGGGAGAGGAGAUCUGCAAAACAUUACUCUUGAUUUCCAGUGAUGCUGGAGAUGAGCCGACCCAUGGAGAGCGCGUCAGGACAGGCUGUUGGUUACUUUUUUCUACUUGGGCGAAAACAGUUGGUUUUACAGUGGAUGGGAUAUUUUAAAACUGGGUUAUAAAAACAUCUAAAGCCUGUGCUAGAGGGUUUGUAUGUAUUCUUGGAAAGAGGGAGGGCAAGAUCCCAAGUGGAAAAAUGUUUUUUAAAAGGGCAGCCUGUAUUGUUCAUAGAGUAUAAAGGAAUUGAGUCCCAGCAUCUUGAGGAAGAAGUCAGUGUGUUCUUUGUUGGUGUUUUCUGUCUUGAUGAAUGCCUCAGCAUGGAGCUCUGUUGGCCUCAGAGCUGGGGAGAUGGUGACAGACACCACAGGUCCUGGUUGUUCCACAAGCCAUUGUCAUCCAAAUUCAGCUCAGCCCCGACUCUUUCAGUGUGGUUUCUUUGGGGAGUCUUGGCCUGACUUCACAUAGCUCAUGAAUACUUAAAUAUUCCAUCUGGUCUGCAAACAGUCUGGGAAGAUGGCCUUUCUUAGCAGUAGGAAGCAUUUGUGCUGGUUGGCCCCUCCUUGGGGUGUGUGAGCAGAGUGCCUCCAGCUUCUAGAAGGAAAGACAAAGGCUGUGCUGCGCUUGUUCUCUGUCCUUAAACUAUUGCUUCUGAGUCCAUGGAGCUCCAGCUCCCUUAACCUCCUGAUUUGUGUUGCAAAAAGGUGACCUCACCUGUCCAGAAGAUGCUUAAGUCGUCUGUGGAGGGUGUCCAAGAGCAGGUGGUUCUUUGUACUGGGACCUUAGAUCCAGUCAGUGCCAACUCCAGGAAGGCCCGAUGCUCUGAAGACCCCACUCUUCUUUUUCUUACACGUUCUCCUCUCUCUGUUGUUAAUAAUUACCCCAUCUAUAUUAAAGCUUGAUUUUUAUUUCUUUAGGUUUUUCUGGUGAGGCUGAUGUGAUGCACUGUUUUAACCACUUGACAUACCUAAAUAGCAAGUGCCUUUUUAUUGGCAGUUCCUGAUAGCCUUCUGAGAAGUGUCCUACAGUUUGUGUAGCAUUGGCUUUCAAGUUAGUAGCUUUCAACUGUGCGGAACUGACUACUAAUAUUUAGAUUUUGUUUGAAAAUUUUAGCCACAUUUCGCCCCAAAGUUAGGCUUUUUUUUUCCCCCUGUGUCCUGUGUAAAACAGACUAAUGGCUUAGCCCUUACUGUGCAGUUCAACCUUGGGAACUGGGGAUUCAAUACUGUUUCAGUGUAUCUUUAGCUUUGUGUUACCUGGGUUGUAGGCCUUGCAGUAAGGGCUGAUUCUAUAGGAAAAUCUCCAUGGCAUGACUUAUUCCAUUGAUUAUUUUAUGAAAAAUUCAGGUUUUUUUUGUUGUUGUUGUUUGUUGAUACUUAUGUUCAGUUUAGAAUUUAGUACUGUGAGAUAAACACUACAAGAGGAUUGUUGAAAUCUGGUGGGAGGCCGACUCUUGCCCUGAGUAUCUGAGGUACUCAGUGGUCAGUGUUCUGUCCUAUGUCUUUCCUUCUGGAAUGGCAUUCCUCCCCUAAAAUACAUACUGAUUAGUUUCUGUGACUCCUCUGGGUCAGUCUAUAACAUUAUAAAAGGCUUGUUCUCUUUAAGGGGAUAGUCAACACAUUCACUGUCACUUAAUAUGAAAAAGAGGACACAGCCACACCAUCAAAGCUGUGC